GGUUCCAUGGUGUAAUGGUUAGGACUAAGGACUCUGAAUCUUGCGAUCCGAGUUCAAAUUUCGGUGGAACCU
rnacentral:tRNA from 1 species